AUUGAACGCUGGCGGCAGGCCUAACACAUGCAAGUCGAACGAGUGGCGGACGGGUGAGUAAUGUCUGGGAAACUGCCUGAUGGAGGGGGAUAACUACUGGAAACGGUAGCUAAUACCGCAUACCAUCAGAUGUGCCCAGAUGGGAUUAGCUUGUUGGUGGGGUAACGUCUCACCAAGGCGACGAUCCCGAGCUGGACUGAGAGGAUGACCAGCCACACUGAAGCUGAGACACGGUCCAGACUCCUUCGGGAUGCACCAGUGUGGAAUAUUUCACAAUGGGCGAAAGCCUGAUGCAGCCAUGCCGCGUGUAUGAAGAAGGCCUUCGGGUUGUAAAGUACUUUCAGCAGGGAGGCGUUACCCGCAGAAGAAGCACCGGCUAACUCCGUGCAAGCCGCCGCGGUAAUAC
rnacentral:rRNA from 1 species